rnacentral:rRNA from 1 species
CUCGAACUAUCAUGAGAGGUACAGCCUGCCCAGUGACCCAAUGUUCAACGGCCGCGGUAUCCUAACCGUGCGAAGGUAGCGUAAUCACUUGUUCUUUAAAUGAGGACUAGUAUGAAUGGCAUCACGAGGGUUAUACUGUCUCCUUUUUCCAAUCAGUGAAACUAAUCUCCUCGUGAAGAAGCGAGGAUUAUUUUAUAAGACGAGAAGACCCUAUGGAGCUUUAAACUAACCAGCAUUUGCUAUAUUGUAAAAUUUUUCAGAAAUAUAAAAAACAGCUUAGCUCUUUGACUAUAAGUUUUCGAUUGGGGUGAUCACGGAACAAAAAAUAACUUCCGUGCCGAAAGGACUAUUCCUGAGCCAAAAGUGACAACCUUAAGCACUAAAAAAUUAACGCUUAUUGACCCAAUAAUUUGAUCAACGAAC